GAGUUUGAUCGUGGCUCAGACUGAACGCUGGCGGCAUGCCUUACACAUGCAAGUCGAACGGCAGCAUGAUCUAGCUUGCUAGAUUGAUGGCGAGUGGCGAACGGGUGAGUAAUACAUCGGAACGUGCCCUGUAGUGGGGAUAACUAGUCGAAAGAUUAGCUAAUACCGCAUACGACCUGAGGGUGAAAGUGGGGGACCGCAAGGCCUCAUGCUAUAGGAGCGGCCGAUGUCUGAUUAGCUAGUUGGUGGGGUAAAGGCCCGACCAAGGCGACGAUCAGUAGCUGGUCUGAGAGGACGAUCAGCCACACUGGGACUGAGACACGGCCCAGACUCCUACGGGAGGCAGCAGUGGGGAAUUUUGGACAAUGGGGGCAACCCUGAUCCAGCAAUGCCGCGUGUGUG
rnacentral:rRNA from 1 species